rnacentral:rRNA from 1 species
UAUUAUACUAGAAAUUAAUAAAUAAAUGAAUUAAAUUAUUAUAAGAUAUAGUCUUUAAAUUUGAAGAAUUUGGCGGUAAUUUAGUCUUUCCAGAGGAACCUGUUUCGUAAUCGAUAAACCACGAAUAAUCUUAUUUGUUUAAGUUUUAAUUACAAGUUUGUAUACCGUCAUUAUUAGAUAAUAUUUCGAGAUAAAUUAUUAUAUUUUAAAAAAUAAAAAAAAUUAGAUCAAGGUGCAGCCAAUAAACAAGUUGGAAUGGGUUACAAUUAAAUAAAUAUAAUAUGAAAUAAAAUUUGAAAAGAGUUUUAGGAAAGAGGAUUUGGUUGUAAUAGGUAUUAAUAAGACAAAAAGAUAAAAGCUCUAAAUUAU